rnacentral:rRNA from 1 species
AGAGUUUGAUCCUGGCUCAGGACGAACGCUGGCGGCGCGCCUAACACAUGCAAGUCGAACGGAGCUUAGAGAGCUUGCUUUUUAAGCUUAGUGGCGAACGGGUGAGUAACGCGUGAGUAACCUGCCCUAGAGUGGGGGACAACAGUUGGAAACGACUGCUAAUACCGCAUAAGCCCACGGUACCGCAUGGCACUGAGGGAAAAGGAUUUAUUCGCUUUAGGAUGGACUCGCGUCCAAUUAGCUAGUUGGUGAGGUAACGGCCCACCAAGGCGACGAUUGGUAGCCGGACUGAGAGGUUGAACGGCCACAUUGGGACUGAGACACGGCCCAGACUCCUACGGGAGGCAGCAGUGGGGAAUAUUGCACAAUGGGGGAAACCCUGAUGCAGCGACGCCGCGUGGAGGAAGAAGGUUUUCGGAUUGUAAACUCCUGUCGUUAGGGACGAUAAUGACGGUACCUAACAAGAAAGCACCGGCUAACUACGUGCCAGCAGCCGCGGUAAAACGUAGGGUGCAAGCGUUGUCCGGAAUUACUGGGUGUAAAGGGAGCGCAGGCGGGAAGACAAGUUGGAAGUGAAAACCAUGGGCUCAACCCAUGAAUUGCUUUCAAAACUGUUUUUCUUGAGUAGUGCAGAGGUAGAUGGAAUUCCCGGUGUAGCGGUGGAAUGCGUAGAUAUCGGGAGGAACACCAGUGGCGAAGGCGGUCUACUGGGCACCAACUGACGCUGAGGCUCGAAAGCAUGGGUAGCAAACAGGAUUAGAUACCCUGGUAGUCCAUGCCGUAAACGAUGAUUACUAGGUGUUGGAGGAUUGACCCCUUCAGUGCCGCAGUUAACACAAUAAGUAAUCCACCUGGGGAGUACGACCGCAAGGUUGAAACUCAAAGGAAUUGACGGGGGCCCGCAC